GAUGAACGCUGACAGAAUGCUUAACACAUGCAAGUCGAUGGGGAAGUGGUGCUUGCACCAUGGCAACCAUGGCGGACGGGUGAGUAACGCGUAAGGGACUUACCUGCAGGACUGGGAUAACAGGGGGAAACUCCUGACAAGACCGGAUAAUGUCAUGGAGCUGCAUGGCUUUAUGAUGAAAGGAGACGCCUGCGGAGAGCCUUGCGUCCUAUUAGCUAGUUGGUGAGGUAAUGGCUCACCAAGGCGAAGAUAGGUAGCCGGCCUGAGAGGGUGGACGGCCACAAGGGGACUGAGAUGCGGCCCUUACUCCUACGGGGGGCAGCAGUGGGGAAUAGUGGACAAUGGGGGCGACACUGAUCCAGCAAUUCUGUGUGCACGAAGAAGGUUUUCGGAUUGUAAAGUGCUUUCAGCAGGGAAGAAGUAAGUGACGGUACCUGCAGAAGAAGCGACGGCUAAAUACGUG
rnacentral:rRNA from 1 species